rnacentral:rRNA from 1 species
UACGUAGGGUGCAAGCGGUUGUCCGGAAUUAUUGGGCGUAAAGAGCUCGUAGGCGGUUUGUCGCGUCUGCUGUGAAAACGCGAGGCUCAACCUCGCGCCUGCAGUGGGUACGGGGCAGACUAGAGUGCGGUAGGGGAGAUUGGAAUUCCUGGUGUAGCGGUGGAAUGCGCAGAUAUCAGGAGGAACACCGAUGGCGAAGGCAGACUCUGGGCCGUUACUGACGCUCAUGCACGAAAGCGUGGGGAGCAACAGG